AACGAACGCUGGCGGCAGGCUUAACACAUGUAAGUCGAACGCCCCGCAAGGGGAGUGGCAGACGGGUGAGUAACGCGUGGGAAUCUACCCAGUUCUACGGAACAACUGAGGGAAACUUCAGCUAAUACCGUAUACGCCCUACGGGGGAAAGAUUUAUCGGAAUUGGAUGAGCCCGCGUUGGAUUAGCUAGUUGGUGGGGUAAUGGCCUACCAAGGCGACGAUCCAUAGCUGGUCUGAGAGGAUGAUCAGCCACAUUGGGACUGAGACACGGCCCAAACUCCUACGGGAGGCAGCAGUGGGGAAUAUUGGACAAUGGGCGCAAGCCUGAUCCAGCCAUGCCGCGUGAGUGAUGAAGGCCUUAGGGUUGUAAAGCUCUUUCACCGGAGAAGAUAAUGACGGUAUCCGGAGAAGAAGCCCCGGCUAACUUCGUGCCAGCAGCCGCCGUAAAAC
rnacentral:rRNA from 1 species